AAUCAGCGGGCGCGCCGCCCGGAACGUAAACACAGCGCGCACAUGGCCCCGCCGCGCCGGACAUGAGGCUUGCGGUGCUGGGGAGAGACUGAAGCAGGGCAUCAACAUGCCAAGGGGCAGAAAAUGGGGAAAAGCACAGAAAGUGAGGUAGGAAGCUUCCACCGGUAGUUUCUACACUCUCUUCUCACCCCUAGGAAGAAAUACAAGAAUUUCCCCUUCUUCCCCUGUCACCCCACGCUUGUGGAGCAGCCCGAACUGCAUCUUUAAAUUCCAGAGAUAGCAGAGUGACUCCCCACCUGUGCUAAACACUCCCCUGCCCCUGGAUGGGAGACCACACAGCAGCAUUGUCGCAACGAAGGCUGACUGGGCUGCUACCUGCAGCUGAUAGCUGGAUGGUGGGACAGGAUGCACCUUGGCCACCUCACCAGAGGUAUGCGACAUCCGAUGACUCCUCUUUCCUCAGGCCUGGUGGUUGCUGAGGUCAGGACAGGAGGCCGGUCCGUGUGGAGAGGCCCUCCUAACCCACCCCACGCCAGCCAGGGACCCACCAGUUUCUGUCAGCAGGGAUGUGCCUGCUUUUGGAGGGGCUGGGUUUCUUAAGUGCCUGGAACACGUACAGCAGGAUUCAUUUGAUCCCCAAACACCUACUUUGCAAAGAGGAAAAAUAUGUUUACGCGAAGCGUGCCAAGGAGCAGCAUCUUUUCAAGCCUCAACACCUCCUGGUGUUUUCUGCUUCUUUGUUCCUAUUACUCCAGGAAAAAAAUCCUAUAACCUAUUCUUUCUCUCGUUGACUGAUGCUCACAACUACGCUGGCAUUUUCACAGAUCUACAGUGACUCCAAGGUCUCUUCCCUGCUAAUUUACAGCUAAUGAUGGUUUACAAAUAAUGAAGGUUAUUUUUGCCCCAUAUGAAAUACUUUGUCAGUGCUUUUCUGUCUGCUCAGUUUGCUUCCCGAGGUCCUUCUGAAACACGCAGUAAUCUGUCUGUCCUGAUCGAUUUUGUGCUCUGCAGCUGCAGGUGGAACCAGUUCAUACAAGCACGCUUCUCUUAGGUGAGGCAGCUGAUACCAAACCCUACCCCAGCAUUUCCAGCUUCUUUACAGCAAAGAUUUACCUGCUAUCUUCUGUCACUAGCUUAAAUGCUGCUCUCUAAAAGUCGCUAUGAUGAUAGCUAUGGCCACGACUUCUUACCUACAUUAACGAUAUAAAUAGCAAUAACUCGCCUAACUAAUCUCAGCCUCUGGAAGCCAGUAGAAUUUUUUUCUAUUGAUUGUAGUGGGUCAAGCCCUACACAGUGUUUCCUGACCCCUUGCCCUACUUAUUCUCCGUUUCUGUUUCACAUACGUGUCUAACUGUUCAGCUGGUUGCGCUUUGUUUUUCUCCCUGUUGAAGCAAAACCCUGAUAAGGAGGUCCCAGGGGUCUUCAGCUUGUCAUCGCAUCCCUUUGUGGACCGAAUGUGUGCAGAACGCUUUAGGAAGAAGCAAAAGCUAAAUAUAGACCAGUUUAAAGCCUACCCAUUAAGGGCAUGCCUACAUGACACGAAUGCAACUUGCUUAGGUACCAGGAGCAGUGUAGUCAUGGAGCUAAGUAUAACCGAAACAGAGGAACUGGCUCGCAAAUUGUUCACCCGCUCACACAUCCUGUCUCUCCGUGCCAAGUAUCAGAGGCUUGGAGGAAGAUAUAAAAGCUCAUAAUAGCCAGUUAAAUGCUAAUUUGCCCAUAGGGUAACUUUCUUCCUGAUUCAGCUCUUUAGCAGACGGGUUAUGGCCUGAAGCAUGUAACACUUAAGCUUUUCUGUCUUAACCAAGUGUUACUGCAGAUGUGCUUUUUAUACACAGAAACCGAUAAUACAAGUGAUAAUAGAAUUAAAAGUACAGGAAAUAAUCUCUUGUAAAAGUGGCACGUUACACCUAGCCUCAGCUGCCCCUGCAGUUUUUCAUGGACGGUGAGGACUUGGACCUUUAUUCUAGAAAGACAAAACAUUAUUUUGCAUUAAUAAGGCCUGUUUUUUUAUGGCAGUAAUAUCGCUGCCCACCUUUUCCUUUCUGUGCUAUAAAUUACUUCAUCUGCCGCUACAUCAGCUGCUUAUCCAGCAAGGAAAUCGUCAGCUAAUGAAGCAAAGAUGAGAGUAUUUAUUACUUGAUUGGGCCGAUCGCAAUUUUGGGGAGAUAAGCAGAGCAGAUUGUGUUAAGGAUGCAUAAAAACUGCCCCUUACUUUCACCAAAAUACCAAGAUUUAGUGCCACAGCGUCCCAACAUUACGUUACAGGGACCAUUGGUUCUGGUGUGUUGGUCCGGAGGGAGAGGGUUGCCUUUUUUACGUCCAGACAAAACAAAAGCUACUACACUGAAAUUAGUGAAAUUUCUCUGGGGGACAAACCAAAGCAUAUUCCAGCCCAGAGAACGAUCACACACAACUACCCAAAGGAUAGUUGGCAAUUUAAGGGCCAGGACAGCUUCACACUUUUACCAGCUCCAUGUAGAGCUGAGUUUUUUUCCCGACUGUUGUCUCAGUGUGGCUAACUUGGAGGUUGGAAGAUGACUUAGGGCCUGAUGCUUCAUGGUGCUGGGUUACAUCAGGAGGUAAAGCAUGAAAUACCCCAUCAGACCUUGUACCCUCCUGGAUCAGUCCCAGCUGAUGAAACUUGAGUUCCUAAAUGCUGUCUUCUCUGUUCUGCCAAGGGUCCGAAGAGUUAAAGCUAUUAACUGGCUUUAGAAUAAAAUGCAUUAGGAAUAAAUAUGCUUUAGGAUAAACCUAUUAAAUGGAUAAAAAUGCCAUUACCAGUGGUGAAAUAUGAUUGUGUGACCUUUUAAAUAAAUAAGCCUGCUAUGCACCAAAUUAUGUCAGAUAAUAAGCUUUAUACAUGAUAAAGUCAUGCAGUUGUUCUCAAUCUUCAGGCUUUCAAUGAGAUAUUGCUAGCCAUAAAGGGCUUCUGAAAUGUUACAGUAAAGAAAAUUGCUUCCAGCUAUAAAAAAUUUAACCAUUGAAACAAAUGUAGUUUCUCAUAAAAUUCUAUGCGAGGCAUUGGCAGCUAGAGGGAAAUUUUGCUAGAAACAAACCAUAGGUAUCCAAACUAUUUUGGAAAUAGACAACCCUUCGUAAAAUAACUCAGAUUCCGGGUAAAUCUGGAAAAGCUCUGUUGAAAGGAAAAGGGUUAUAAUCCCAUAACGCCAGUGUCAGAUCGAAAUUGUGUUCCUAUGGUCGUAGAAAUAUGCUUGUGGGAUACCUCUGGAUACAAAUGUUGCUAUGGAUCCAAGCUAACCUACACCGGUAAUUUUGGUGCUCGAACAAACAGAGGAAAUGCUGAGCUCUGUGGCUGCCUUGCAUCUUGGGGCUGUCUGUGUUAUGCCUCAGCAGCUUGCCCAGAUCGCUCCUGACGCAGCGAGGGUGGAAACGGAGCUGGAUACGAUCAGCCUGGUGAGUAGUCAGACGUGUUUCAUCAGAGUCAGCCACCAGCUUCACGUGGGGCAGAACUGGCUCUCUGCUGAAAGUCAGAGGAAGUGUUUCCUGGCCUAAACCAUUACAACAAAAAAGAAUGAAUGAAGCAAAUUCUCUCUUUCAUUCCAGUGACGAUGAGCGAAAACCUCCUGGUGAGGCACGUACAGUUUUAAUCAAAUCAUCAGGGUCGCUUCAUCUGUUGUUACACGGACGUGAGUGAACGCCUGUAAUUCCCAGCUGGGGUUUAAAAGACAACUCCAAGGACUGAAAACUUGGAAUUCCCCACCACAAUCAGUUAUCAUCUCCAAAGGCAAUGUUGAAUAACACAUCAGGUGGUAACAGAAGGAAGCAUUCCCGGUUUGUUUUGUUUUGUUUUCUGAGCUGGGAGAAUGUAAACACUUUUUCUGAGGAUAGAAAGAAUCUCGUUCACCUCCAGUGAGAGGCACUGGCAGUUUUUCACCAACACCCUAUCCAGACACAGCCAAUACGUCUGUCCGGGCAGGAGCUCGGCUGCAUCCCGAAGUGCCUCCAGACACUUGCCAUCUUGUUUUAUCGCGGCUCCUCAAAAACAGUCAAUUGUAAGCAUAAAUCCUGCAGAGCCGGCACGUGAUCGGCGGCGGACUUACAGCUGCUCGUUAUAUAAUCCCUCCAAACCAUUGAUGCAGCACUUCUCAGCGAGCAAUCGCCUUGCUCUGAGUCAUCUGGAAAGUCUCUGGCUCCGUGAGCUUCCAGGAGCAGACCCAUCCCAACAGGUUGUAUUUCCACUUCCCAUUUCAGAUUACAGGAGGCGCCCUCUGUGUCAUCCCGCACACGGACACGGCCCGUGCCGGACGCCCCGUGGGAGUUGCCGGCAAGCGCUGGGGCUCGAGGCUCGCCGCUGGUGACUCGCCUGCAGGCACGGAGCAGCACAACCCAGGGCAUCCGCGGGGCCGGGAGAUCCUCACCCUGCUGCUGUCAGACCUCUGGUGUGACCUGCCGCUGGGAGGACGGAUGCCAUCAUGCACCGUGUCCCCGCUACCGUCACCAGCAUGGGGGCUCGGUUAGCUCGCUCACUCUUCUUUUGUUCCUUCGAGGCAAAGCCAAGUCGUAAUCCGGCCACGGGUCGCGGAUCUCAGCAGGGUGCAGAACACGGGGUCUGCCUUUGGAUGAGGAGAUCUCCUGCUAGCUUAGGGGAUCUCCUGCCUCCGAGUUGAUGCCUGACGGACAGAUACAGCUAUCUGCGCUACCAACAAAGCUGAGGAGCUCAUUUUUCACAAAACCGACCGAUCACAACUUUGGCAAUCUCACUCGUACUGAACACCACGACCAAAAAAAAAAAAAAAUGAACUGAGUCAGCAGCAAGCAGGGCUGUAAUAAAACCGGGAGAAACAAGACUGGUUGGGUUAGGCUGGCUGAUAGGUGCCAAGAGAGCUAGGCUGGGGUUACCCCUUCAAGGGGCAAAGGGGGGAAAGAUGGAAAGUAACCCCUCUCCUGAUCCUCCUUCCCCCGCAUACAAUGCAAUUUCUUCAACCUUUAUUGUCAUCACAAAGUUCCUACAAAAGGAUCAUACCAGGCAACAUUUAAACUGUAAUAAAAUUGCUAUGAUUUUAGGACAAAAUUUGCAAAAACA